rnacentral:rRNA from 1 species
AAUAGAUACCCGGGUAGUCCACGCCGUAAACGAUGAGUGCUAAGUGUUAGAGGGUUUCCGCCCUUUAGUGCUGCAGCUAACGCAUUAAGCACUCCGCCUGGGGAGUACGGCCGCAAGGCUGAAACUCAAAGGAAUUGACGGGGGCCCGCACAAGCGGUGGAGCAUGUGGUUUAAUUCGAAGCAACGCGAAGAACCUUACCAGGUCUUGACAUCCUCUGCCAACCCUAGAGAUAGGGCGUCCCCCUUCGGGGGACAGAGUGACAGGUGGUGCAUGGUUGUCGUCAGCUCGUGUCGUGAGAUGUUGGGUUAAGUCCCGCAACGAGCGCAACCCUUGAUCUUAGUUGCCAGCAUUCAGUUGGGCACUCUAAGGUGACUGCCGGUGACAAACCGGAGGAAGGUGGGGAUGACGUCAAAUCAUCAUGCCCCUUAUGACCUGGGCUACACACGUGCUACAAUGGAUGGUACAAAGAGCUGCGAACCCGCGAGGGUAAGCGAAUCUCAUAAAGCCAUUCUCAGUUCGAA